AAUAGCCCACUUGUUACUAUCUAUACCCAGAGCAUCUACUCCUGGCCGCGCCCACGUGGCUAAGAAUAGCCCCCUGGCUGAACCUGAUGGAACACAAGUUUCCAGGCUGCUGUGACUGUGUAGCGGAACAUCCAAGCAAGAGUACAUGGUUGCCGAGAUUGGAGGCCAGCACAGAGGACAGACGUCAGCCACCUCUGCCUUCCUCCCUUUAUCCUGUGAUGUCUUUCCCUCCUGGCUGCCACCAUAGCCUCAGGUAGGUCUUGUUAACCUUCGCAGUGUCUAGGCUGCCUCUGCAGCAGCUUGCUACACCCCACCCCACCCCAUCACUCCCAGGGGCUGUUCUAGAUCCUUAGCUGUCCUCAAAGCAUCUCCAUGGUCCCUGGGCAAACCUCAGCCAUUGGGCUCUCAUGCCCCUUGUUAACACCUAAGUAAGGACCACUGUCACCAGAUCUUCCCCACAGACAUCCCCAUGUCUUGCUGCCCUAUGAGCUAUACUCAAAGGGGACAUACCACGGCCUCAUGGGUAUAGGAAACCAUGCCAAUAUGUCCUUUCCCCUUAAGUAGCACAGCUUGAGCUGCCAGUCUCAUUGCCCACCUCAGGGCCAACACCAGUGCUCUUCUUCCCGCACUCAACCUUGCUUUUAUUGUAUCCUGCCAGACGACUGACUAUGCUGGGUGACAAAAAUGCCUUCCCUAGGGGAGACAUAAACAAUGUCUACCCCCUCUCACUAAGGGUUUCUUGGAUAAACUAAGGAACAGUUCCAUCAAAGUUCACACGGAGGAAUUAACAAGUUUAUUUGGCUUACUGAUAGAGCAAUGGGUAAUGGGUUAUAGGCAGGAACAUGGGUGAAGUCAAAGCAGCCGCACUGGUGGGUCUGCACCCAGCACAGAUGAUGCCCCACCCCACCCCACCUCCAGUCCCUGUCCCCUGCUGUGGCUAUGUAGCUGGACACCUCCCACCCUAGUCUUCCCCACACAAAUACUCCAGCUCCUCUCCAAGAUGUGACGCUACAUGCACUUUUGGCAGAAUUGCAUACAGCUGUUUGGAAGGAGUGGCUGGCUGCUCAGGUAAGGCUGCCUAACUCCUGAAGAUGUGGAAGUUUGGCGCAUACCUGUUUAAAGGCCAUGUUGGGCUGUGGUCACAGAGGCCAAACAAAGGAGGGCCUUUAGAGGUCGCCCAGUGCAGUGGCCUGAUUUGUCAGGGCCAAGUGACAGGGGCCAAAAUCCAGGCAAAGAACAAGCCAGGGGGAGCGGGAAGGAAGGAACAAUGACUCCUGAGGGCUGGUGCCCAGGAACCCGCACAGGUCAGAGGAGGGCUUGGUGACGACCCUCCCGGCCUGAGGAAGGAAGGGAUUUGCUUCUUGUGGCAGGGCAAGGAAAUUCCAGCCUGGGGUGGGCCCGACCAUUUCUCCUUCCCCUCUGCUCAAUGCAACUUUCCUUCCUCCCCUAGUUCUGCCCAGGCCCCAAACCUCCCCUCGGACCUUUGCUACCUUAGCCCCCCUAAACACAGCUGCCAGCCUACAGUCACCCACAUGAUUGGCUGCGCAUGCCAGCCAGCCCUGCACUGAGCUGUUUCUUGUUUUUUUUGUUUUUGUUUUUGACAAGGAACCAGAACCCUUGGAUGAAAUCUACCUCUCUACCAGUCUCUAUGGUUACCCAGGCCGGCCAGGUGCUCUGGAACAACUCUGACCUCUGAAGACUUCUCUAGGGAACUGAGUUCAAAGGGACAAGCGACAGGGGCACAGAAAUCCACAAACAGCAUCCUCCCUUUUGAGGUUGCUUUUAGAGGUUUUCUGUCCCCAGUGCCUGGGCUGGGAACCACAGCUGCACGUUGGUCCCCUCUGCUGGCCUGUUCAGACCAAGCUCUGAGGUGCAAGCAGAUGGUCACUCAGCCCUGGUGGACUCUCCUCCCUUCAUGUCUCAUGCAUGUGUGUAUCCCUGACCUAACAGUGAACUUCACAAACAUGACAGACAUUUAC
rnacentral:lncRNA from 1 species